UUCAUUCUAUAAUCUUUACCUACUGUGGCCAUUGGAUGUUUUGAAGCUAUCUUGGAGAAUACUUCCCUCCAAUUUGGCCUUGCAAAGUGUGUCCUUACCUGCAAAAGACUUCGUUAACAGUCAUUCCCAAAUAGGAUGGCGUGGGCAUUACAACCAUGUCAGCAGGGAACUUACUCGGGUUCCAGAAAGGAUGUCAACCCCAUGUUUGGCGUGGUUGAGAGCUUGGACCAUGGUGAUCAAUGUUGAUCUUGCAUCACUCUCUUCAUAAACACUUGUAAGGGUCCUUUCUGCCACAUACAGCAACAGCGGCACAGAAAUAUACAUCCCUGUCUGGGAAGGUCACACAGCUUUCAACAUUAGUCAGCCGCAGUCUGGUUCAUGCUUUUCGUAUAAACAAAAUGUUCAGAGUUCUUACU